rnacentral:pre_miRNA from 8 species
AACGUUUGCUCCCGUCUCGACCACGGGUAUUCUUGGGUUGAUAAUACAGAUGUCGAUGUUAUUGCUUGAGAAUACGCGUAGCUGAGUGGAAGCCAUUUUCC